GACGAACGCUGGCGGCGUGCCUAAUACAUGCAAGUAGAACGCUGAAGGAGGAGCUUGCUUCUCUGGAUGAGUUGCGAAUGGGUGAGUAACGCGUAGGUAACCUGCCUGGUAGCGGGGGAUAACUAUUGGAAACGAUAGCUAAUACCGCAUAAGAGUAGAUGUUGCAUGACAUUUGCUUAAAAGGUGCAAUUGCAUCACUACCAGAUGGACCUGCGUUGUAUUAGCUAGUUGGUGGGGUAACGGCUCACCAAGGCGACGAUACAUAGCCGACCUGAGAGGGUGAUCGGCCACACUGGGACUGAGACACGGCCCAGACUCCUACGGGAGGCAGCAGUAGGGAAUCUUCGGCAAUGGACGGAAGUCUGACCGAGCAACGCCGCGUGAGUGAAGAAGGGUUUCGGAUCGUAAAGCUCUGUUGUAAGAGAAGAACGAGUGUGAGAGUGGAAAGUUCACACUGUGACGGUAUCUUACCAGAAAGGGACGGCUAACUACGUG
rnacentral:rRNA from 1 species